rnacentral:rRNA from 1 species
AGUGAACGCUGGCGGUAGGCCUAACACAUGCAAGUCGAACGGCAGCACAGUAAGAGCUUGCUCUUACGGGUGGCGAGUGGCGGACGGGUGAGGAAUACAUCGGAAUCUACUUUUUCGUGGGGGAUAACGUAGGGAAACUUACGCUAAUACCGCAUACGACCUACGGGUGAAAGCAGGGGAUCUUCGGACCUUGCGCGAUUGAAUGAGCCGAUGUCGGAUUAGCUAGUUGGCGGGGUAAAGGCCCACCAAGGCGACGAUCCGUAGCUGGUCUGAGAGGAUGAUCAGCCACACUGGAACUGAGACACGGUCCAGACUCCUACGGGAGGCAGCAGUGGGGAAUAUUGGGCAAUGGGCGCAAGCCUGAUCCAGCCAUACCGCGUGGGUGAAAAAGGCCUUCGGGUUGUAAAGCCCUUUUGUUGGGAAAGAAAAGCAGCAGGUUAAUACCCCGCUGUUCUGACGGUACCCAAAGAAUAAGCACCGGCUAACUUCGUG